UACGUAGGGUGCGAGCGUUAAUCGGAAUUACUGGGCGUAAAGCGUGCGCAGGCGGUGAGUUAAGUCUGAUGUGAAAGCCCCGGGCUCAACCUGGGAAUGGCAUUGGAAACUGGCUUGCUUGAGUGUGGCAGAGGGGGGUGGAAUUCCGCGUGUAGCAGUGAAAUGCGUAGAGAUGCGGAGGAACACCGAUGGCGAAGGCAGCCCCCUGGGCCAACACUGACGCUCAGGCACGAAAGCGUGGGGAGCAAACAGG
rnacentral:rRNA from 1 species